rnacentral:rRNA from 1 species
UACGAAGGGGGCUAGCGUUACUCGGAAUUACUGGGCGUAAAGGGCGCGUAGGCGGCGCUCCAAGUUAGGCGUGAAAGUCCUGGGCUCAACCUGGGAACUGCGCUUGAUACUGGAGUGCUUGAGGAUGGAAGAGGGUUGUGGAAUUCCCAGUGUAGAGGUGAAAUUCGUAGAUAUUGGGAAGAACACCGGUGGCGAAGGCGGCGAGCUGGUCCAUUACCUGA